GGGGCCGCCGGGAGCGGGGCCGGUUUGAACGUUCGGCCGCUACCGCCGCCUUCCCCUGCGAGCCGCAGUCCCCCGAGGUUACUUUGUGUGCUUUCAAAAUGAGCAGCGAAGACGAAAUAAAGGAGAAAUUGGAUGCGGAAUUAGAUCGCUGUAUUGUGGCUAUGAAGCCCUAUGUCCUUAACCUGCAGCAAAGUUCAGAAAGAAAAAGAUGCUCACUAUGGAUUAAAAAACUCUGCAAACCUUCAGGAGCAGGCACAGGAAUAGUGGGAAGGGAGAAUCGAAACUUGUAUGCAAAGCUGUUGCUCCACAUGCUGAAGAGAGGAGUUCUGAAUGGUCCCUUCAGCCAAAAACCAGAGGAAGGGAUGCUGAGAACUUUGCCUGCCUACAUAUCAGUUUAUUUUGAUGAACCAAGUUCCUCAAGAGUUCUGGACAGCAGCCCUGACUGUGUACCUGAGUGGGUGAUGGGAGACCUGGGAAACCGUGAAAGCAAUGCAUCCUCUGUGGAGGAUUCAUCUUCAUCAACCCCUCCUGCACAUGGGGAAAGAUUGAAUGAGAAGCCACCAGUGCUGCCCUGUUGUGUGAGCUCUCCUCAGAGGACAGAUGAAGAUGACCUAGGCACGUCACUGUCUGAUGAUAAACACAAAAGAAACAUUUCAUUGGAUGAUGAUGACCUCGAAGCACGACUCAAUAGUUGGAAUCUUGGGUUAGAAAACCCCAGAUACCUGCGAGAAAAACGGGUGCCCAUGACCGUGAUGACACCAAAAAUUGGCCUUGAGCAGAGCAGCCCCUCUCGGCAGCACCAGGCGCUGUUUCGAACGCAGGAGAAGGAGCUGGAAAUGAAAAUGAAAAUAGCAGAAGGUAAAUUUCAUGAAGAAAAACUGAAAUUACAACAGAAGCACGAUGCUGAUGUUCAAAAGAUUUUGGAUAGAAAGAAUGAUGAAAUAGAUGUGCUGAAGUCUGCCUAUGUAAAGAAACAAAAAGAAUCUGAGGAUACAAUAAGAAAGCUGGAGAAAAAAGUUCAGACCCUUGUUCGUGAGUCGCAGGUUGUGAGAGAUACCAAAGAGCAGCAGAUUCAGGAGCUGAAGAAGAUGUGUGAGCAAAGCAAUGAUUCCUUGAAGAAUGAGUGGGAGAAAAGGCUCCACGAUGCUGUGGCUGAGAUGGAGAAGGAGAAGUUCAACAUCAGGAAGAAGCACAUGGAGGAUAUGCAGGAGCUGCUGGAGGAAACCAACAGCAGGCUGGCCAGGAUGGAGGAGGAGUAUUUGCAGCAGACAAAGUCCACUAAUGAGACAGUCCAAAAGCUGGGGGCCCGUGUGCAGCAGUUGACUGUUGAGGCUGAAAAUAGUAAUUUCCAACGUCAGAAAUUAUCUCAGGAGAAGAUUGAGGUGGAACAGCGUUACCAGGACGUCUGCUCCCAACUUCAGGAGCUGAGAACGAGGUACAACUUACUUCAGAAAGACAAGGAACAGAUUAUGCAGGAAUACAAGGAGAACCUUCAGCAACUACAAAGUAAAUUUGAUGUUGAUAGAGAUUUUAUGAAGCAGGAGCAAGCUCAGACAUCUGAUGUGAUUGCAGAGUUGCAGCAUGGAAUGGCUGUGUUGAGACAACAAUUGCAGGACUCUGAACAUCAAAGGCAGCAACAGCUGAGGGAUCAAGAAUACAAAGUUCAACAGGACAAGCUUCAAAUGCAGCGUGCAUAUGAGAAACAGAUUCAUGGCAUUCAGAAUGAUCUGGAUAAAGAAAGAGGAGAUGCUCAGAAGAAAAUUCGCCACCUGGAACAGGCUCUGAAGGAGAAGGAGGAGCAGCUGAGGCGGGUGACGGAGGUACAGAGGCUGCAGGCCCAGCAGGCAGGCACUGCCCUGGAGGAGUUUAAGCGGCAGGUGGAGCUGAACUCAGAGAAAGACUCUGCUGAAAUGAAACAGCGGAUAGCAGAGGUUGAAGGAGAUCUAAGCAGAUCAAAAUUGCUCCGGGAAAAGCAAGCCCAAGAAUUCUCCAGGCAGUUGGAUGAGAUCAAGAAAAGAUAUGAACAACAGAUAGUGGAGCUGAAGCUGGAGCAUGAACAGGAGAAGACGCACCUAUUCCAGCAGCACAACGCAGUGCAGGACUGCCUGGUCCGAGACCAUCAACGGGAGAUCGAGAAACUGGAGAAGCAGCUUCGUGGUGCCAUGGCAGAGCAUGAGAGCCAAAGUCAGGAGAGCAAGAAACGAGACGGCCAGGUGAUCUCUUGUCUGGAGAGGCAAAUCCGCAAGCUGAGGGAAGAGCUGAUCCAGGCGAACGCGCUGAGGAACCAUCAGCUGCUGGACCUGAGCCUGCAGAGGGACGAGGAGAAGCUGAAGGCAGCUCGAGACAAGGAGGCAGCACUGAACAGCCUCAAGGUGGAGAUGGAAAAAGUGAUAUCAGAGCUGAAGAUGAAGCACACGGCAGAGACAGAGGCAGCCUUGAACAAGGCCAGCAGCAGGCUGAGGCAGACGGAGGAGCACUUCAGCCACAGACUGACCAAGUCCUCGCAGGAGAUAGCUGAACUGAAGAAAACCAUUUCCUCCCUGAGAGAGGAGAGCAGCCGGCAGCAGCUCGCAGCAGAGCAGAGGCUGCAGGAAGUUGUCCAGAAGUUGGAAAAUGAGAAACAGCAGCUGAUGGCAGAUAAUGACAGAGCAAUCAAGGCCUUGCAGGACCAGGUGGAGAAUUACUGUGGGCAGCUUUAUGAUGCUCAGAGGAGGCUCCAGCAGCAAGAGCUGAAGGCUCAGCAGCAGCUGAUUACUAUGCGAGAAGAAUAUGAAAAAAUACUCAAAGGGCUGAUUCCAGCAUCUUCCAAAAAGGAUCUUGAAGACACCAUUUCAUCUUUAAAAUCUCAGGAAUUAUUCCAUAGCAGAGACACUUCCCCUGGCAGAGGCCACCUUCAGUGGAAGUAGGAAAUUUUCACAGUGCAAACUCAACAUUCCAGUGUGCAAGGAGUGACACAACUUCAGCCCUCUGGUUGUAAACAUUCUGCUUCCACCUCAAGGGAUCCCUAAUGGAAGUGAUGCUCUUUCUGUUGUGGGAAAUAAAGAGUUAAGGGUCUAUUGGGGAGAUCUAUUUCCAGUUGACAGUAAAAAGUUAUUUCUAAAGACUCCUCUGAGCACUGCCUGGUAGGAAGCAUCCCUCUAAUCCUGCAAUACCUAAUAGCUAAUCCAAGAACACCCCACCUUUUAAUGAGUUAAAAAAAAAAUUAAAAACUAGAAUCUGAUCUCCACGUGCAGAGCUGCUGUAAGCAGCAGCAGCAGCAGCAUUUCAAAGGAGGAAAAGUAACUGCACAGAUGAAAACCUGGGUGCUCUCCCAGAAAUCCGUGGCUGCUGGCUGCGUUUCCACACGCGCUGGCGUCGGGGAGCGCUCGGGGAGCUGGGCUCUCUCUGAAGCACAGGUGUCCUGCUCUUUGAAAAUUGUUGAAAUUCCUGUUUGAAAACAUCAGACAAGAAGGGCACUGGAAUCCCUGCACCUGUCAGGAUUAUUUAUUGUUGGAGGAGGAUGAAGAGGAUAGGCUGGGUAAAAGCAUCGCGCGGGGAUAAAAAUAAACAGCAGAAAAAGAAAAUACUUGAGGCUUGGGUGAAGUUUUCUAAACAUGUUGCUAAAUAUAAAGGAUUUGCUGCCUGCUUGUGUGCUCCUGGUGAGAUGGCCAGCAAUUAAUAACCAUUAAUUCUCACACACUUGGGGAACAGGUGAGUACCUUCAUCACAAGAGCAAAAGUGCAGGGAUCAGAGCACAGGAAUCCCAUGGGAGCUGCCAGGAGAACAGGAGCUCCCAAGCAUUGGACAACCCAGGUGGUGCCACCAGCUGGGUUUAACAACUGGUCUGACUUUGUUCCUGAAGGAGUAGAGAGUGCAGAGCCAGAGCAGAGCCAGGGAAGCCAGGAGAACAGUCUUCUGUUAAAUAUUAAUUCUUCCACACAGCUCAAGUGUUGCUGCGUUUUAUUUAGGCAGGAGAGACCAGAAGAAUUCUUUUUGUGAAAUGAAUGCAAAUAUAUUAAUUGGAAUUUUGUACCCUGUUUUCAUGUGGGAUGUAUUUUACAGGUAAGUUUUCUGCAGAAAAGACUCCUCCAGGAAGACCUGAACGUCUACCACGCCAAAAAGUAGCUGAUGGAUCGGUGGGAUCUCUGUGAUUGCCAAAUG